GAUUUGUGCGUGUUGUGGCUUCACAAAUGCUUUGCUACAUACCUCGGUUGUAACAAGUGGUUAUUUCAGUCAAAGUUGCUCUUCUAUCAGCUUGAUUCAGUCGGCCCAUUCUCCUCUGACCGCUAGCAUCAACAAGGCAUUUUCGCCCCCACAGGACUGCCGCAUACUGGAUGUUUUUCCCUUUUCACACCAUUCUUUGUAAACCCUAGAAAUGGUUGUGCGUGAAAAUCCCAGUAACUGAGCAGAUUGUGAAAUACUCAGACCGGCCCGUCUGGCACCAACAACCAUGCCACACUCAAAAUUGCUUAAAUCACCUUUCUUUCCCAUUCUGACAUUCAGUUUGGAGUUCAGGAGAUUGUCUUGACCAGGACCACACCCCUAAAUGCAUUGAAGCAACUGCCAUGUGAUUGGUUGAUUAGAUAAUUGCAUUAAUGAGAAAUUGAACAGGUGUUCCUAAUAAUCCUUUAGGUGAGUGUAUCUUUCAACUAAUUGAAUAACUGUCAAAUAUCUUUUUAUUUAACAGAGAACGUUGCCAGGCCUCGGGGGGUAACCAUGUUAAGCCACUCCUGACUGCAGAGGACUGCCUCCUGAACAUCCACGGGGACAUUCUUACUGAACCGUGAUGGUGUUGUGAGCGGCCGUAACUUCAGAGGCCUAUAUGACAGUCUGGGCCUGGUCACCAAGGAGAGGGAGUACCAGCGCCUUCUGCAGCUGCUGGAUCUGAAGCCUGGAGCCAACUAACUACUCAGAGUUCUUCGAUACUAUCCAAUCCAAGACACAGAGGCUGAAGCCCAAGCCAGCCAAUGGGCGAGUAGGGUCCUGUCAAAGUGUAUUUGUGAGGUUACACAUGAUUAUACUAUGUGUCAAUGUUCCUGAUGCUGUUCAAACAGACUGGAUCAACUCCAUGACUUGCUGGUGUUCAUCGCAAACCUCAGGUGGACUGCUAUAUCGAAGGUAAUUAGCCGCUUUGAUGAUGAUCGCCAGGUUCUGGUGUUUAAGAAGGACCUCAGGAGUCUCCUCUACACAUACUACCUCCCCAUAAAGCCUAAUGACUUUGAGGAUUUGUGAGCCAGGCCAGGUGAACGCUUUUGAUGCCUUUUGCUACAACCACAACAACACCCACAACAACAACACAUGCAACAUCUGUG
rnacentral:lncRNA from 1 species